rnacentral:rRNA from 1 species
UACGUAGGGGGCGAGCGUUGUCCGGAGUUACUGGGCGUAAAGCGCUUGUAGGCGGUCCACCAAGUUUGGGGUGACAGUUGCCGACUUAAUCGGCAAAGUGCCUCAAAGACUGGCGGACUUGAGGGCCACAGAGGGACAUGGAACUCCAGGUGUAGUGGUGAAAUGCGUAGAUAUCUGGAAGAACACCAAAGGCGAAGGCAGUGUCCUGGGUGGUCGCUGACGCUGAGGGGCGAAAGCCAGGGGAGCGAACGGG